AUUGAACGCUGGCGGCAGGCCUAACACAUGCAAGUCGAACGAGUGGCGGACGGGUGAGUAAUGUAUGGGAAACUGCCCGCUGGAGGGGGAUAACUACUGGAAACGGUCGCUAAUACCGCAUACCAUCGGAUGUGCCACGAUGGGAUUAGCUAGUAGGUGGGGUAACGGCUCACCUAGGCGACGAUCCCUAGCUGUGCUGAGAGGAGGACCAGCCACACUGGAACUGAUACACGGUCCAGACUCCUACGGGAGGCAGCAGUGGGGAAUAUUGCACAAUGGGCGCAAGCCUGAUGCAGCCAUGCCGCGUGUAUGAAGAAGGCCUUCGGGUUGUAAAGUACUUUCAGCGAGGAAGCGUUACUCGCAGAAGAAGCACCGGCUAACUCCGUGCCAGCAGCCGCGGUAAUUC
rnacentral:rRNA from 1 species